rnacentral:hammerhead_ribozyme from 1 species
AUUUAGCUGACGAGUCCCCAAUAGGAGGAUACGCUUGUCCUUGAU